AAUCCUCAACCCCCUCCGAUUUGUUUCGGUGGGGGAUUGGACUUGGAGCGUGCUGGCGAAGGUCGGCUCCUCUUUAAAUGCAUCAGCGGAGAAAAUGCCUUUUGCGCCUCUGGCCGUUCAGCGUGAUAAUGACGUUGCGCUGCGGUCGAGCUCAAGGUCCGCUUCCAAAGGUCCUCGGACGAACGUAAACAUGAC
rnacentral:misc_RNA from 1 species